GAUGAACGCUGGCGGCGUGCCUAAUACAUGCAAGUCGAGCGAACGGACGAGAAGCUUGCUUCUCUGAUGUUAGCGGCGGACGGGUGAGUAACACGUGGAUAACCUACCUAUAAGACUGGGAUAACUUCGGGAAACCGGAGCUAAUACAGGAUAAUAUUUUGAACCGCAUGGUUCAAAAGUGAAGACGGUCUUGCUGUCACCUAUAGAUGGAUCCGCGCUGCAUUAGCUAGUUGGUAAGGUAACGGCUUACCAAGGCAACGAUGCAUAGCCGACCUGAGAGGGUGAUCGGCCACACUGGAACUGAGACACGGUCCAGACUCCUACGGGAGGCAGCAGUAGGGAAUCUUCCGCAAUGGGCGAAAGCCUGACGGAGCAACGCCGCGUGAGUGAUGAAGGUCUUCGGAUCGUAAAACUCUGUUAUUAGGGAAGAACAUAUGUGUAAGUAACUGUGCACAUCUUGACGGUACCUAAUCAGAAAGCCACGGCUAACUACGUG
rnacentral:rRNA from 1 species